rnacentral:rRNA from 1 species
GAUGAACGUUGGCGGUGUGCCUAAUACAUGCAAGUCGAACGGAGAUAAUAGCAAUAUUGUCUUAGUGGCGAACGGGUGAGUAACGCGUUGGUGACCUGCCCCGAAGUGUGGGAUAACAGUCCGAAAGGAUUGCUAAUACCGCAUGUGGUCCUCGGAUUUAGAAACCGAUGACUAAAGCCGCAAGGCGCUUUGGGAGGGACCUGCGUCCCAUCAGCUAGUUGGUGAGGUAACGGCCCACCAAGGCUACGACGGGUAGGGGACCUGAGAGGGUGGCCCCCCACAAUGGAACUGAAACACGGUCCAUACACCUACGGGAGGCAG